rnacentral:rRNA from 1 species
UACGUAGGGUGCGAGCGUUAAUCGGAAUUACUGGGCGUAAAGCGUGCGCAGGCGGUGAUGUAAGACAGUUGUGAAAUCCCCGGGCUCAACCUGGGAACUGCAUCUGUGACUGCAUCGCUGGAGUGCGGCAGAGGGGGAUGGAAUUCCGCGUGUAGCAGUGAAAUGCGUAGAUAUGCGGAGGAACACCGAUGGCGAAGGGCAAUCCCCUGGGCCUGCACUGACGCUCAUGCACGAAAGCGUGGGGAGCAAACAGG